CUGUAAGCCUGUGAAGGUGGCCUGUGAGGGUUGCUGGAGGUAUCAGAAGUGCGAAUGCUGACAUAAGUAACGAUAAAGCGGGUGAAAAGCCCGCUCGCCGGAAGACCAAGGGUUCCUGUCCAACGUUAAUCGGGGCAGGGUGAGUCGACCCCUAAGGCGAGGCCGAAAGGCGUAGUCGAUGGGAAACGGGUUAAUAUUCCCGUACUUGGUGUUACUGCGAAGGGGGGACGGAGAAGGCUAUGUUGGCCGGGCGACGGUUGUCCCGGUUUAAGCGUGUAGGUGUGUGUUCCAG
rnacentral:rRNA from 1 species